rnacentral:rRNA from 1 species
GACGAACGCUGGCGGCGUGCUUAACACAUGCAAGUCGAACGAAGAGCGAUGGAAGCUUGCUUCUAUCACUCUUAGUGGCGAACGGGUGAGUAACGCGUAAUCAACCUGCCCUUCAGAGGGGGACAACAGUUGGAAACGACUGCUAAUACCGCAUACGAUCUAACCUCGGCAUCGAGGAUAGAUGAAAGGUGGCCUCUACAUGUAAGCUAUCACUGAAGGAGGGGAUUGCGUCUGAUUAGCUAGUUGGAGGGGUAACGGCCCACCAAGGCGAUGAUCAGUAGCCCGUCCGAGAGGAUGAACGGCCACAUUGGGACUGAGACACGGCCCAGACUCCUACGGGAGGCAGCAGGGGGGAAUCUUCCGCAAUGGACGAAAGUCUGACGGAGCAACGCCGCGUGAGGGAUGACGGCCUUCGGGCUGUAAAGCUCUGUUAAUCGGGACGAAAGGCCUUCUUGCGAAUAGUUAGAAGGAUUGACGGUACCGGAAUAGAAAGCCACGGCUAACUACGUG